CCUACGGGAGGCAGCAGUGAGGAAUAUUGGUCAAUGGGCGAGAGCCUGAACCAGCCAAGUCGCGUGAGGGAGUACUGCCCUAUGGGUUGUAAACCUCUUUUGUCGGGGAGCAAAAGCCGGACGUGUCCGGCUGUGAGAGUACCCGAAGAAAAAGCAUCGGCUAACUCCGUGCCAGCAGCCGCGGUAAUACGGAGGAUGCGAGCGUUAUCCGGAUUUAUUGGGUUUAAAGGGUGCGCAGGCGGAUUUUUAAGUCAGCGGUAAAAUCGUGGGGCUCAACCCCAUCCAGCCGUUGAAACUGGGGAUCUAGAGUGUGCGAGAGGUAUGCGGAAUGCGUGGUGUAGCGGUGAAAUGCAUAGAUAUCACGCAGAACCCCGAUGGCGAAGGCAGCAUACCGGUGCACAACUGACGCUCAGGCACGAAAGCGUGGGUAUCGAACAGGAUUAGAUACCCCUGUAGUC
rnacentral:rRNA from 1 species